UUAGAAAAGGAUUAGAAAAUCUAGCCGGCUGAUAAAAAUCGAGCGGACACGUAACCAUCACGUGUAUGUCUCUAGAGAGGCCCCUUAUCCAUCCGUCUCCACCUCCACCAAUCUGGUUCUCUCUCGUUCUCUGUCAAUCAUCUCUCUCUCUCUCUCAUUCAUAUCCAGGCGAGAGUGCAUGCCGGCACCAGCGCCCCUCCCCGCCGACGGUGGCCACCACCACCUGCGUCGUGGCCAGCCCCGUUGCGUGCGCCCCCUCCCCUCCCCUUCCCUUCCCAUGACUCCGGCGUGAUCCUCUGAUCUCCAUGGGAACCUGCGCCGCCCAAAUUCGCCUCACAUGCAUGUCGUUCCAUUGUACUGGCGGUGAUCCAUGAUCCAGUGCUGUUGGGCCACUUUUCCUCCGCCAACAUCCGCGGUGCCGCCAAGCCGGCCCUGUUCUGUCUCCUCCUCCCUUUGGGAGGCCCGUGUCCGACAGUUGCAGGCUGUCAACGUUGGAUGUGCCAAACCUCCACCCCAUCAGGUGGAGAGUUUGAUCCCGAGCAGUGAUGAUUUUAUUUUUGCCUCCUCUGCUAGGAGGCAGAGGAACGGAGAGUGGCGGCAAGGGCAGCCGCCGGUGCGAUGACGAGAACCCAGGGGUGGACACACGGGAGAUUGGGUGCUCGCGCGAAGCCUCCUGCAGCACGGUCGCCCACGAGCCCACCCGGAGCUGUCGUCCCCAUGAAGGGCGCCGCCCCGCUGCACUGGUAAGGAAGCUGUCUGGAUGAAGAAAGGAUCGCGGGCUGAAUUCUUACGAACAUAGGUGUGUUUCUGUAAAAAUGAAUCAUUUUUGCAGAUUCACUUAAACAAGGACUGCAGGUUAAUUUAUCAAAAACGGGGGACUUUUUUAUGAAAACGCCGACGAUGUACGACCAGAAGCAGUCGCUGGUUUAUUAUUAGGUGGAGAUUUAGGCUGUGCUCGGCCAGACUACGUGGGAUUCCUGGCAUGUCUGAAGGGUGCCACGCAAAAAUGUCCCAGUUCUCACGUAGGAACUCGUAGUGCGGCGUCUACAUCAUGGUUUAAUUGUGCCCCGAUGGAAGCUGUUUUUGUAGGGUCCGUUGGAUGGACUUGGAAUUUGA